UUCAAUUAAAGUAAAUAUAAAUAAAUAAAUAAAUAAGAAAUAAAGGAACUGUGGAUUCUUGCACAACCCAUUUUCAUGUAUGUUAUGGCUUAAGUAGUUUUGUCGAGACGUGUAGGUCAAAAACCUAUGGCAAAAAACACUUGUUAUUUAGUUAUUUAAAUAAAAAAAAUUCUCCUUUCCUCAUCUCAUUAAGUUCUAUGAUACAACACGUGAACGCUCUAAUUUUAAUGAUUGUUUUAUGAUCCU
rnacentral:lncRNA from 1 species